rnacentral:lncRNA from 1 species
CAGCUGCUUAUUUCUGCAUGUCCACUAUCAUGAGAUGAGUCUUGGAUACGGGUCCUAUCCGAGAUGAAGGGAACAAGCUGCGGGCGCCCCUCCAGGAUGCAUACCCUUCUUGGACCACAAGGUGUGCGAAACUGGAACGCUCCGAUGUCAAAGAUUCGCCUUCCCUCUGUCUUCCUCCCUGAGAGCGGCUAAUGAAGGUGUACCGAGUACUUUGAAGAUUUUAAUUACUGUUAUCCCCGGUUAUCAGUUCAAGGCUGUACAGCUCCUGGGAGUCCUGCAGAUGGGAUACUGAGCAAAAGAGCUCGUCCUGUCGCUGCUGUUCCCGCGUAUCCCUCUCAGAGGGCAGUAUCAAGCCCUUAGGCUUGAAUUACUCAAAGCCGAAUUACUCAAAUCAACUUUAGAAUCUACUGAAAGAAACCAAGGGUUCUCAC